UAGUGGAGUGAUCUGUCUGGUUAAUUCCGAUAACGAACGAGAUCCCGGCCAUUUAAAUAGUGUUUAUUACUUUUGUAGUAAUACACUUCUUAGAGGAACUAUGUGGAAAAACUAACCCCAACGGAAGUGGGGCUAUAACA
rnacentral:rRNA from 1 species